rnacentral:tmRNA from 1 species
GGGGGUGUACUGGUUUCGACGGGAGCAUUGUGCGUUAAGGAAGCGAGCCGUGGCCCCGAACCACGGAAAAAGCGGGAAAGUUAUAACUGCGAACAACGAGUAUUCGGCUCUGCCGAUGGCGGCCUAAGGCCGUCCGUCGGUCCCUAAGCGCCUACGGCUUAGGGUGUCCGGCGUCAUCGAUGUAGGAAAAUGAUCCGCGUAAGCUUUGCCGCGCGAUCGUAUUUAUGAAGCUACCCGACGCUCGAUCCUGCUUGUGGGAGCCCGCGAAGGGGAAAUCUAAAGCAUAAGCUGCGCUCGGAGAUGCCUUAGCGUUCAGGUUUUCGGACAGGGGUUCGACUCCCCUCACCUCCAC